rnacentral:tRNA from 1 species
GCGGGUAUGGUUUAGUGGUAGAACACGUCCUUGCCAAGGACGGGAUUCGGGUUCGAUUCCCGGUACCCGCACCA